GUGGGGAAUCUUAGACAAUGGGCGCAAGCCUGAUCUAGCCAUGCCGCGUGAGCGAUGAAGGCCUUAGGGUUGUAAAGCUCUUUCAGCUGGGAAGAUAAUGACGGUACCAGCAGAAGAAGCCCCGGCUAACUCCGUGCCAGCAGCCGCGGUAAUACGGAGGGGGCUAGCGUUGUUCGGAAUUACUGGGCGUAAAGCGCACGUAGGCGGAUCAGAAAGUCAGAGGUGAAAUCCCAGGGCUCAACCUUGGAACUGCCUUUGAAACUCCUGAUCUUGAGGGCGAGAGAGGUGAGUGGAAUUCCGAGUGUAGAGGUGAAAUUCGUAGAUAUUCGGAGGAACACCAGUGGCGAAGGCGGCUCACUGGCUCGAUACUGACGCUGAGGUGCGAAAGCGUGGGGAGCAAACAGGAUUAGAAACCCGUGUAGUCC
rnacentral:rRNA from 1 species